ACACGUAGGGGCCUGACGUUGUUCGGAAUCAUUGGGCGUAAAGGGCGCGCAGGCGGCCGUCCAAGUCCGGUGUUAAAUGGUCGGGCUCAACCCGAUCAUGCGCUGGAAACUGGGCGGCUUGAGUCCCGUAGGGGAUGCCGGAAUUCCAGGUGUAGGGGUGAAAUCUGUAGAUAUCUGGAAGAACACCGAUGGCGAAGGCAGGCAUCUGGCCGGAGACUGACGCUGAGGCGCGAAGGCGCGGGGAGCGAACAGGUUUAGAUACCCUGGUAGUCCGCGCAGUAAACGAUGCGCACCAGGUGUCGGGCGGCGGCGCCCGGUACCGGAGCUAACGCGAUGAGUGCGUCGCCUGGGGAGUAUGCCCGCAAGGGUGAAACUCAAAGGAAUUGACGGGG
rnacentral:rRNA from 1 species